GCGGACAUGGCGGAAUGGCAGACGCGCCGGAUUUAGGAUCCGGUGGGAAACCGUGUGGGUUCAAGUCCCAUUGUCCGUACCA
rnacentral:tRNA from 1 species